GUUAAUUCUCUCUGCAAAAAACUGGAGCAAGGUGGGAAAUUAUUUUUCCAAAACUUAAUUGUUGGAUCUGUUUAGUGGUUUUUUUUUUUUAUUGGUUUUUUUUUUUUAAUUUUUAUAAACAAACACACAUAUAUAUAUGCAUUUGAGAGUUUCUGUUCAGGAACUGAAUGGCUACAUUUUUUGUCGGUUCUAGAACUAUUCUGUAUCAUCAACAUGGACUGAGAAGAAUGUGACCAGAAAGCCACCAUAAGAGAUUCUCUCCUCCUAGAAUGCCUGUAAAAGACACUCUUUGACCAUGAAUGUGUGCCCUUGCCAGGGGCCCAUGCUGUCCACUCAACAAAUAUUAAAAAAGGAUGGCAACCAGAGAAGAACUGCUAGUUUGAUCACUGGCUUUGCAAGGUGACUGUGUUGGACCUCAAUGUCUUCUUGGAGAUAUUCUGUACACACAUGGGCUUCUCAACUCACAAUGGUUAUCGAUAUCAACAGCAGCCACCUAUAUGAUAACAUUAGAUCCUUUCUGAUAGACGACCUGAGGGAUUACAGCACCACUAUAAUGAUUUCUGGUUCAUUCAACCCACAUCUUCUGAAGAUCAUCCAAGAUGCAAGUGCCACCACCACGAAUCCCAUGCCAACCUCCAGUUUCCCCAGUGAAAAUGACACCCAGUGUGGAGAGCAGAUCCUUAACUAUGGUCACAUAGAAAAGCUGGUGAUAGGAGCCAUGCUUUCUCUUAUCACUUUACUUACAAUUGCAGGGAAUUGCUUGGUGGUUAUAUCUGUGUGCUUUGUGAAGAAACUUAGACAACCUUCAAACUAUCUGAUUGUGUCCCUAGCAUUAGCAGACCUAUCAGUGGCCAUUGCUGUCAUGCCUUUUGUUAGUGUAACUGACCUCAUUGGGGGUGAAUGGAUCUUUGGUCAAGUAUUUUGCAAUGUAUUUAUUGCAAUGGAUGUGAUGUGCUGUACAGCUUCCAUCAUGACUUUGUGUGUUAUUAGCAUUGACAGGUA